rnacentral:rRNA from 1 species
CCUACGGGUGGCUGCAGUGGGGAAUAUUGGACAAUGGGGGCAACCCUGAUCCAGCCAUGCCGCGUGUGUGAAGAAGGCCCUCGGGUUGUAAAGCACUUUCAGUGGGGAAGAACGCCUGGUGGUUAAUACCCAUCAGGAAAGACAUCACUCACAGAAGAAGCACCGGCUAACUCCGUGCCAGCAGCCGCGGUAAUACGGAGGGUGCGAGCGUUAAUCGGAAUUACUGGGCGUAAAGCGCGCGUAGGUGGCGUGAUAAGCCGGUUGUGAAAGCCCCGGGCUCAACCUGGGAACGGCAUCCGGAACUGUCAAGCUAGAGUGCAGGAGAGGAAGGUAGAAUUCCCGGUGUAGCGGUGAAAUGCGUAGAGAUCGGGAGGAAUACCAGUGGCGAAGGCGGCCUUCUGGACUGACACUGACACUGAGGUGCGAAAGCGUGGGUAGCAAACAGGAUUAGAUACCCGUGUAGUC